rnacentral:lncRNA from 1 species
AACCCCAUAAAUAAAGUUUCAAACUUUUUUUAGAAAAUGAUAACCUGAUCAAGAAUAAAUUUUCAAAACGCUAAUUCUCCUAUUAUAAAACAAUUAAUCUUUUUUCACGAUUAUACUAAUUAUUUUAAUCUUAAUUACAGUAUCAAUUUUAUAUUUAAUAUUAACUAUAAUAUUAAAUGAAUUUACUAAUAAAAACCUUUCAAGUAAACAAAACAUUGGAAUUAUUUGAACAAUAACCCCUUCAAUAUUACUAAUCUUCAUUGCUAUACCAUUAAUUCAUCUACUAUACUUAACAGAUGAAAUUAAUAAACCCCUAAUUACAAUCAAAACAAUUGGACAUCAAUGAUAUUGAAGAUACGAAUACUCAGACUUCAAAAAUAUCGAAUUUGACUCUUAUAUAAAUAAAUCAAUUAAUAAAAAUUCUUUCCGUUCAUUAGAUUAGAUAAUAAUACAAUUAUUCCCUUAUAUACACAAAUUCGUAUAAUUGUUAGAUCAAAUGAUGUAAUUCACUCUUGAACAAUUCCUAGUCUAGGAAAAAAAAUUGAUGCAAUUCCAGGACGGUUGAAUCAAAUUAGAUUAUUAAUCAAACGACCAGGAUUAAUAUUUGGACAAUGUUCAGAAAUUUGAGAUCAGGAGUGGAGGGAAAGAGUAUAGG